rfam:Streptomyces scabiei 87.22 complete genome
CGCUCAUCCAGAGGGGCAGAGGGAUACGGCCCGAUGAAGCCCCGGCAACCCUCCAGCCGGUCUGACCACGUCGUCGUGGUGAGGCUCCCGGCUCGGGAAGGUGCCAAAUCCGUCUCGCGGCGAAGUGCGCCGCGAGGAAGAUGAGGA